rnacentral:rRNA from 1 species
AUAUAACUAGGCGGAGGAAAAGAAACUAACAAGGAUUCCCUCAGUAACGGCGAGUGAAGCGGGAAGAGCUCAGAGUGAAAAUCUUCGGAAUUGUGCUCUGUAGAGGUCAUAUCAGCUCAAACAGCGGGGCAAAUCUCUUGGAACAGAGUGCCAUGGAGGGUGAUAGCCCCGUCUACCCCUGCUGCGUCGAGUGUACGAUAGGCUUUCAACGAGUCGAGUUGUUUGGGAUUGCAGCUCUAAGUGGGUGGUAAAUUCCAUCUAAAGCUAAAUAUUGGUGGGAGACCGAUAGCGCACAAGUA